GCAACAACAUAGAUUAGUUAUUAAAACAAGUUAAUUGAAGAUACAUUUGUAAAGAAAAAACAAACAAACAAAUGCAUGUUUUCCCUCUGCAUGAUCCUGCAGAGCCACUGGACAGAAGAGACCCAGCCCAUCUACGCAGCCCAUCGAUUUUGCCACGAGCUAGCUAUUAACCCCAAGUUCUGGCUGAAAAUAAAGCCUGGAGAAGCUGCUUACGCGACGUCUGCACAUGCUGGGAAGAAGCCAACAUGCACGAGGGCUCUGCAAGACGAUAUGGUUUUCAGCCACGUAACCUGCAUCCUUCGACCAGCCCCCUCUGCUUUCCGGGACUCCGGGGAUGCUUCCUUUCCUGGUACCCACUAGUCUGAAGAGACAUCUCCCUUCCACAACGGCGGACAUCUCACUGUGCAAGACUUGCUUUAUCUCAAUGGCCCGCGCUCUCACAUUGGCAAGCCACGGUUUAUUUCUUGACUAGCUCCUGUUCUGGAAGCUUUGGGCUCAGCUAUCCUUUCCAGUAGGUCAGGACGCACUGUCUGUUACUAUGGUAUAGGCAUACGGUACGGAAAAUAUGGUAUAUUUUCUUUAAGCUCUGAAAAGCUAAACGCUGAAUUAUGCUCUUAGCCAUCAAGACAGUUACCCAGUUAUAACAAUCUCUUGCAUCCUACAUCUCUUUUAUAAAACAGGUAUACUGAUCUGACCUUAUUUACCAGAAAAAGCUACAGAUCCCACCGAUGUGCAUGGCAGUUGCACGUGGCAUUCCUAUUCCUAAAGUAUCCCAAUAGGGUUUUAGAAAAGGAUUUUUGUGGUUUUGCCAGCUGAAACGCCUGAAAUCCGCCAUUAACUUCAAGGGAAAUUGCUACGAAUGAACCGGAUGCCACAUGAUCUCUGCAAAGCUAGACAGCGUGCCCCUAAGCACCGCUCGCCGCAUGGAAAGUGCUUUCUCUGGGCCAGCUUUGUCUGGGAACUCUUUGCUUGUAUAACCAUCCGGCUCGCAA